rnacentral:lncRNA from 1 species
AGACAUACACACAUAUACACAGACACACUCAGGUGCAAACUGACACACAGAUACAGACACAUACACACACUGAUACACACAUGCACACACAUAGGAGAUACAGGCACAUGCAUUGACAUACAUGAAAAUAUACAGACACAGUUACACACACAUACAUUCACGUGCACACUAACACCCAGAUACAGACACACAGAUACACACUCAGGUGCAAUCUGGCACCCACAUAUACACAGACACACACAUAGAUACACACACAUGCACUCUGAUACAUACACAC